GAACUCAGCGCAUCACCUCGGAUGCUCUGAGUCCCAGGGAGACCCCUUGGGGGGCUCAGAAGUCCUGGAAUGUAGCCAAAGGCACCUGGUGGCUUGAUUUUGACCCUUCAAGGGUCGUGCUAUCAAAGCAUGAGGAUAUGGAAGUUUCAGAGGUUUGAAUGGUGUAGGGCAGGUGUUUUUAUAGAAUAGAAUAUAGGUUUUAAGAUUUUGGUACAGGGGGGUCUAAUGGAGGCAAGAUGGAGGAUUCAGGCCCGACCUCGUGGCUUUUCUCCUUCUUCUUGUCAUCCAUCUUCUCUGUGAUGUGUGCAUUUUAGAUUGGUUCAUACUAAAGGUGCACUGUUUAAUAAAGGUGAUGGGUAUUGGAGAAAAAUUGUAAAUAUCACAUACGCAAUUAUCAGUAUAAGAAUGUACGACCGCCCAAAAGGGGCAGAGAGUGCUUGUGGCUGCCUUGCUGGUCAGAUCUCGGCUGGGCAGAACAAAAACCUUAGAGAUAAGCUUUAAUAAACAACCUGAAGACCGAACUAUAGAGGAGUCCAGACUCGUCUGUUCAUCGCGGGCUGCCUGCGAACCGUCCCACGCGAGCCACCCCACGCAUGUCCGACAGAGACACACAGCCGAUCGGACAUCUGGCGAUCCCUGGGUGGGCUCAGGUGGGCUCAAGAAGGGCUCAGGUGGGCUCGAGAAGGGCACGAGUGGGCUCGAGACGGGCUCAGGAAGAGCACAGGAGGAACACAGCCUGAGCCCAGGUGGGCAGCUCCCACAGCUGGACUCGUUCCCAGGAGCACGCUGAUAUCUCCCGGAGAAAGCAGCGUCUGCAGACGGAGAAAGCAGCAGCCACUGAACAGCAGCAGCCACUGAGACCAUCAACAAUUAUCGCACUCCUCUUCCACCGAAGGAGACUCGUACCAGGACAGCCCGGACUGGAAUCAGAAAGGCGCCUCUGAUCCCAUCUCCUGCGGACUGCUGGACAGGACCAGGAGCCUUCGGACUGCCCCGACGACACAAAUUCGUUAUUACAGAGGUACCUCAGCCAAGAUUUCAAGAAGUCUACUGUGUUUGAAGAAUUUCCAUCCCAACAGAAGUUUCAGAGGGAUCCAAUUAUUAAAUGGUUUGAUAGAUCUUUAAUCCUAAGGUUUCUUAUUCAUAAUUGCUGUUUUUAAGAGUCUCAUUUUAAGAAUGUGCUAAGUGAUAUCCAUCAAUUAGAGUUCGGGCUCUGGCCAAGUCCUAGCUCUACUUGAAUGGAGUGAUUGACAAUCAGCCCAGAUGUUUUCUGCAUCAAAAAGUAUUCAAGUCCUUUUGGCUUGGCAAUUUGACCGUCUAUGAUAGCUGAACCUGUUUUCAGAGAGAGUUUGGAGAAACAUGAAUCCGGACAUGGAUUCUCCAGUUCUCUGCUGUUGUAAGGUUCAUCAGCUGUCGCAGACUCUGGGAUGACAGUUCAGUGUUGUAGUGUUUGACAAUUGUAUGAUUGCAGAUGUGUUAUUGGUUAUGUGUAUUAUCUAAUUAAUCUCUAAUUGCUGUCAUUUUACAUUUCCCUAUGCAAUUGCAUAGAGACUGAAACGGAGUUGAUCAAUGUUUUAUUUUCAUAUCAGGACCCAUUCUUCACCUCCAAGAUUUUGAGAAAAUCCUCCAGUCUCUUCGGGGACGUGGAUUUGUUUGUGUUUUAGCAGGUACAAAAGUCCAGGUGAACCCCAGUGAAGAAUGUGAAACUCCAUCCAGUGCAAGACAAUGUUGACAAGAAGCGCAGGCAAGAAAACGCUGGCCAUUCCAUAAGCAGAAAAGAAGAUGUACAGAUGUGGACUGCACAGAGAUUCCAACCCUUGUGCUUUGCCCAUAGAAGGCUGUGGACUUUGGGUCACUUCAUGGGUGUGGGAAUCAGUGGUGUUGUAAAAUUGUUGUUAGAUGAUAGCUUGUUAUACUUUUGUAAGGCUUUUAGUUCUCUUGUUCAUUAUGCCAUGUGUUCUUCUGUGUGUACGACGUGCAAUGAGUCAAGUUACCAGACAAGUGCUUUUUGUGCAAAGAGAGGGGGGAGAUGUGGGAACUCAGCGCAUCACCUCGGAUGCUCUGAGUCCCAGGGAGACCCCUUGGGGGGCUCAGAAGUCCUGGAAUGUAGCCAAAGGCACCUGGUGGCUUGAUUUUGACCCUUCAAGGGUCGUGCUAUCAAAGCAUGAGGAUAUGGAAGUUUCAGAGGUUUGAAUGGUGUAGGGCAGGUGUUUUUAUAGAAUAGAAUAUAGGUUUUAAGAUUUUGGUACAGGGGGGUCUAAUGGAGGCAAGAUGGAGGAUUCAGGCCCGACCUCGUGGCUUUUCUCCUUCUUCUUGUCAUCCAUCUUCUCUGUGAUGUGUGCAUUUUAGAUUGGUUCAUACUAAAGGUGCACUGUUUAAUAAAGGUGAUGGGUAUUGGAGAAAAAUUGUAAAUAUCACAUACGCAAUUAUCAGUAUAAGAAUGUGCGACCGCCCUAAAGGGGCAGAGAGUGCUUGUGGCUGCCUUGCUGGUCAGAUCUCGGCUGGGCAGAACAAAAACCUUAGAGAUAAGCUUUAAUAAACAACCUGAAGACCGAA